GCUCCAUGAGGGCUUUACUGGGCUAGGGGACGCCGGCGGGGCAGCAAGGCCGAGGCCGGCGAGAAGCGGGAAGCGGGAAGCAGGACCGGGACCGGGUGUAGCCGGGGACCAAAAGGCCGAGGGUCGGCCGCCAUCAGUGUUUGCAGGCCACCUGAGAUAGGGCGGAGGAGCUUGAGGAGUUCAGAAAGCGGGCUGUGGACUCCUGUCUGGGACUUUGGUUUAUGCCCUGGCUUCGGCCUUACUUGUAUUUCCCCGCAAGAACGGCUCCUCUCAGUCUUUGCUGAAGUUGGGGGUUGGACUUUAUUAUCAUCAUUUUGUGGAGGGUCCACUGUAUGUAAGCACUGGUCCUGCGCCGAGCGCUAUGGAGACAGCCAUGAGGUAGAAGCUUGGGGAGGGAGGGCUUAGAGAUGCUUGAGGUAUGUUCCUUACCCACCUGCAAUGUUGGAGAGAGCACAAGCAGGGGGAAGGCAGGGAAAGGGAGAAGCAGGCUCCCACUGAGCAGAGAGCCCUACGUGGGGCUCCAUCCGAGGACUCUGGGAUCAUGACCUGAGCCGAAGGCAGACGCUUAACGGUCUGAGCCACCCAGGUGCCGCUGUUUUCUCAUUUAUAACAUGUACUUCACCUGUAGAGGGUGAUGAGCUAACGGAUCAAUCAUAACCCCUGUAAAACAGGUACUUUGUUAGUUUCUCUCUUUUUAUGGAGUUUAGUUGCUGAAUGGCCAACACAGAACAACAGCUGCCAGUUUUUAACUAAGGACUAUCAAUCUAUUGACAUUUAUAGAUGGCUGAAGGAAGCAUAUGCUGUCUCCAGAAUUGUUACUUAGAUACAGACAAUACCGUGCUGAUAGUCUGGGGAGGAUGACAUUGUGACCCAAGUACUUUUCCAUGUCGGUGAUAGCAUACCACCAGAGUGUGUCAUUUAGAAUAAAUGAAAUGCAGUCAACUUUCUUAUUCAGAAAUCGAUUAUCCAGGUUGUGAAUUAUCUAGACUUUUGCAUUACCUUUUUUUUUUUUUUUUUAAGAUUUUACAUAAUCUCCACACCCAAGGUGGGGAUCGAAAUCACAGCCCUAAGAUCAAGAGUCCCAUGCUCCACUGACUGAGCCAGCCAGGCGCCCCUGCAUUGCUUCUGUUAUCUUGCCAAUGGUCUGGAGAAAAAUGAAAGUUGAGGUGAAAAAUCUGGCUUUGAUAUCUUCGUGGAGGUCUACCUUCUUUCAAUCCUGAAUCUGGUUCAGUUUUCUUAUUGACUUAUUACUGUAUUAAAAAUGUUUGUUUAAUUAA